rnacentral:rRNA from 1 species
GACGAACGCUGGCUGCGUGCCUAAUACAUGCAAGUCGACCUUAGUGGCGGACGGGUGAGUAACACGUGGGAACCUACCCAUCAGAGGGGGAUAACACUUGGAAACAGGUUCUAAUACCGGAUACCGAAGGAUCGGCCCGCGUCUGAUUAGCUUGUUGGUGGGGUAACGGCCUACCAAGGCGACGAUCAGUAGCUGGUCUGAGCGGAUGAUCAGCCAGACUGGGACUGAGACACGGCCCAGACUCCUACGGGAGGCAGCAGUGGGGAAUAUUGGACAAUGGGGGCAAGCCUGAUCCAGCCAUGCCGCGUGAGUGAUGAAGGGCUUAGGGUUGUAAAGCUCUUUUGUCCGGGACGCGGUACCGGAAGAAUAAGCCCCGGCUAACUUCGUGCCAGCAGCCGCGGUAAUAC